rnacentral:lncRNA from 1 species
ACUCUGGCCCGGGUGAUUCAAAACAGGCCAUUUAUCAUUACCAAGAACAGGAAGGCUGUGAUCAAACAAUGAAGACACAUGCAGAUACUAAAGGAAUACUCUUUGGAGCAUCUCCCUAUAACCCUUUUCCCAUGUAAAUAAGGCAGUCUUCUCCCUAAACUAAUCAGAGGAUCCAAACGCACCUCCUUACCCAUGCAAGGUGCAGGACAGGAAAUAGUGGGCAUGGGGCAAGAGAACAGGAGUCCCCAAACAGGUCCAUGAUAUAGGAAUAUAAGGAGAGACGAGUUGCAGCCAGCACCAGUCCCUACCCAGGGCAGCCCGCUCUCUCUGAGGGUGUAAAUAAAACUUGCUAUACACUGCUACCUGACUCUUGUCUGCAACCUCUGGCUCAGGGUGAUGGACCAGAAUGGCUCAUUAAAACAGCCCAGUUCCGAGCUGUUACACUGAGGUGUCAGUUUGAGGGGAAAUUCCCUUCGACCCCAAACCCCUCCUGUUCUGAGCUGAUUACUCCCACCUGGAGAGACUCACUGCCUCUAUCUCUGCAAGACUGGGUCUAUCCCAGGACUGCUGCAGCACCGUCCGGCCAGAACAACCUCCUGCCAGACCACCUGCCUCCAUCCUUGCUCAACAAAGCCUGCUGGCUCUAUCCUGAUGCCACUACCAUGCUUCUCACCUUGCACCUCCAAAUCCUUGUGUGUAGGCAAGGAUCAAGGGAGAUAGCUCAGAGCUGACAAAUCUUACAGUUGUGGCUGUGGCAUAGGCUGGCAGCUGCAGCUCUGAAUUGACCCCUAUCCUGAGAACUUCCAUAUACUUCCAUAUACCAUAGGUGUGGCCCUAAAAAAAAAUAGCACAAAAAUCAAUUUUUUUUCUGUAAGAUUUACUACUAAGUCAAAUAUUGAAUUAUCAGAGGCAAGAUGAAAGGGAAUCUGGUGUUGAGAAGAGCUAGUCUUCAUUUCAUCUUCUGCUUCUGCCUGAAUCCUGUCACUUGCCACAGUGUUGAGAAGACAAUAGGGAGAGCCUGGCACCCAAAAAGUAACUUGCCAUAGCAGAGCAAGCUUACCUAAUUGAAACAAACAAACAAACAAACAAACAGUUAUUUGCAGUCCCUGCUCUGUAUUUUCCACCUCCAAAUGGGUUGAUAAUUCAUUUGGGGUCAAAGAGUGGGAAGAAUAACAAGAUCCAUUCUGGUCUCAAUUUUUCCAACAGUUUACAGGAGGCCUGAAUUUUCUGUGUUGUUAGGAAGAAUGCUCAGAUUAAUAAAGUGCGCUUUAGUUCUCAUUUGGCUAUAAAUCCUUGUCUGUAUAUUCUACAGGCCAUUACCUCAGAAGGAUGGAAGAUAAGAGACACAAGAACUUUUUUUCCUACCCAAAUGCCCUUCAAAUUUCUCUCUGCCAAGAUUUUGCUCAUCUUGUGUCCGCUGACUGGAAUUCCUAUCAGUCCUAUCCAUCCAUCAUGAACUUCUCCACUCCUCUUCCCAUAAAGUGGCUAAACCCUGAUAGAAUUUUGCUAGUGGCAUUUACAUAACAUUGUAUUACGUGUAUUUCGGUAGAUUUUAUUUUUAGAGCAGUUUUAAGUUCACAGAAACUUGAACUCUUGAGCAGUAAGUACAGAGAGUUCCCUUGUAGCCCCUCUUCCUACUCAUACAUAGCCUUCUCUACUAUCAAUAUUCUGAACCAGAAUGAUAUAUUUGUUACAAUGGUUAAACUUUCCCUGACACCUUAUCAUUCAAAGUCCACAGUUUACCUUAAAGUUCACUCUUGGUGUGGUGCAUUCUAGUGGUUUUGACAAGUAUACAAUGAGAUGUAUCUACCACUAAAGUAUUAUACAAAAUAGUUUCAUUAACCUAUAAUAUGUUCUUAUUAAUUUUCUUACUCCUUUACUAAAAUAUGAUUCUUAAGGGGAUGGGCUGAAUUUUAUUGAUCAUAUUUUUCCCUGUGAUGAAAUGAACAGUGUUCUGUGUGAUGCUGAGGAUAUAAAAAAAUGCUAAUUGAAUUAGUAAUUUUCAGUGACUAUAAUAUAUAGAGAAAAGUGUGCAUCUUGUAUGCAUCUAAGUUCUGUUUAAAUGCAAUCCUGUUUUUAUAAGAAUGAUCCCUGACUACCAGGGAGUAAAUGUUUCCAAAUUCAAUUAGAACAUGAAUAGGAAUUUCAUAGAUUGAGAUGAGUCAAAGAAUCACUAUUGUCAGUUUUAAAAUUAAACAUUUUAUGUAACUUUAUCCUUAUUUUAAGAUUUCUUUUUUGGUCUUUUUAGGCAUGUACCAAUGGUAUAUGGAUGUUCCCAGGCUAGGGGUAGAGUCAGAGCUGUAGUUGCCAGCCUACACCACAGGAUCCAAGCCCCAUCUGCAGCCUCCACCGCAGCUCAUUGGCAACACCAGAUCCUAAACCCACUGAAUGAGGCCAGGGAUCGAACCUGCGUCUUCAUGGAUACUAGUUGGGUUUGUUACUGCUGAGCCAUGACAGGAAUUCCCAUAUUUUAAGAUUGUUGGGUCUAGUUUAUAGAAGAGGAUAAAAUCCUUAAAAUUUUGCAUUAUCUCUUACAUUUUACUCUUCCUCCUUUGCAUCACCAUAGACCUGACCCUGACAUUUUAUAUUCCUUGAAACAGGAAAUACAACAUGCAUGUCAAUAGUGGCAUAGAUACAUAAAGAUAAUGCGUGAAAGAUAAUACCACUAUGGAGUUUACUUGGGAUGUAUCAUGGAAUUUGUCCUUGUUACAUGUAGUUUAAUAUUUUUUACCAAAUACUUGUGUAAAGGUCUGGGUAUUCAGUACCUUUAUAAGAAAUUACUUUGAGAGAAAAUAUUUUGCCUUUUGUUAGGCAUUCUAAGUGAAUAUGGAUAGUUGGUUGUCUGUUCUCAAGGCAAUGAAAAUGUCUUUAAUUUUUGGAUAGUAUAGAUGACAAUGUAGUAAACAAAAUUCUAUACUUAUAGCCCAAUUAAACAAACUUAGCUAAAAAGAGUACAUGUAAAAUCCUAAAUAGAGGGCCAAAACUUAAUGCAGUAAAUAUUAAUUAACAUUUAAAGCACCACUAACUUUAAUGAUUUUUAUUUUUUUCCAUUACCACCAACUUUUUAAAGCCUGGAUAUUGUGGUUAACUAUACAUCUGAAUUGAGUGAACAUUUUCUUACAAAAGCACUAAUAUUUUUAAGGACCAAAGUCAUAGAAAUGUAGAGGAGAUAAUCCUAUGUACUGAAUUUGUGUCACAGGUUAUACCUAGAAUACCUAGAAUAGUGUGUUUCAUUUAAGGAGCUCUUAAAAGGAAUAUCAGAGUGAAC